GACGAACGCUGGCGGCGUGCCUAAUACAUGCAAGUUGAGCGAUGAAGAUUGGUGCUUGCACCAAUUUGAAGAGCAGCGAACGGGUGAGUAACGCGUGGGGAAUCUGCCUUUGAGCGGGGGACAACAUUUGGAAACGAAUGCUAAUACCGCAUAACAACUUUAAACAUAAGUUUUAAGUUUGAAAGAUGCAAUUGCAUCACUCAAAGAUGAUCCCGCGUUGUAUUAGCUAGUUGGUGAGGUAAAGGCUCACCAAGGCGAUGAUACAUAGCCGACCUGAGAGGGUGAUCGGCCACAUUGGGACUGAGACACAGCCCAAACUCCUACGGGAGGCAGCAGUAGGGAAUCUUCGGCCAUGGACGAAAGUCUGACCGAGCAACGCCGCGUGAGUGAAGAAGGUUUUCGGAUCGUAAAACUCUGUUGGUAGAGAAGAACGUUGGUGAGAGUGGAAAGCUCAUCAAGUGACGGUAACUACCCAGAAAGCGACGGCUAACUACGUG
rnacentral:rRNA from 1 species